rnacentral:rRNA from 1 species
AACGAACGCUGGCGGCAUGCCUAAUACAUGCCAGUCGAACGAGAUCUUCGGAUCUAGUGGCGCACGGGUGCGUAACGCGUGGGAAUCUGCCCUUGGGUUCGGAAUAACUUCUGGAAACGGAAGCUAAUACCGGAUGAUGACGUAAGUCCAAAGAUUUAUCGCCCAAGGAUGAGCCCGCGUAGGAUUAGGUAGUUGGUGAGGUAAAGGCUCACCAAGCCGACGAUCCUUAGCUGGUCUGAGAGGAUGAUCAGCCACACUGGGACUGAGACACGGCCCAGACUCCUACGGGAGGCAGCAGUAGGGAAUAUUGGACAAUGGGCGAAAGCCUGAUCCAGCAAUGCCGCGUGAGUGAUGAAGGCCUUAGGGUUGUAAAGCUCUUUUACCCGGGAUGAUAAUGACAGUACCGGGAGAAUAAGCUCCGGCUAACUCCGUG